UACAGAGGGUGCAAACGUUGUUCGGAAUUACUGGGCGUAAAGCGCGUGCAGGCGGCCUUGCAAGUCGGACGUGAAAUCCCACGGCUCAACCGUGGAAGUGCAUUCGAAACUGCGAGGCUGGAGUCCUGGAGAGGAAAGUGGAAUACUCGGUGUAGAGGUGAAAUUCGUAGAUAUCGAGUGGAACACCGGUGGCGAAGGCGGCCCACUGGAUCGGUACUGACGCUGAGGUGCGAAAGCGUGGGGAGCAAACAGG
rnacentral:rRNA from 1 species